AGUGAACGCUGGCGGUAGGCCUAACACAUGCAAGUCGAACGGCAGCACAGUAAGAGCUUGCUCUUACGGGUGGCGAGUGGCGGACGGGUGAGGAAUACAUCGGAAUCGACUUUUUCGUGGGGGAUAACGUAGGGAAACUUACGCUAAUACCGCAUACGACCUACGGGUGAAAGCAGGGGAUCUUCGGACCUUGCGCGAUUGAAUGAGCCGAUGUCGGAUUAGCUAGUUGGCGGGGUAAAGGCCCACCAAGGCGACGAUCCGUAGCUGGUCUGAGAGGAUGAUCAGCCACACUGGAACUGAGACACGGUCCAGACUCCUACGGGAGGCAGCAGUGGGGAAUAUUGGACAAUGGGCGCAAGCCUGAUCCAGCCAUACCGCGUGGGUGAAGAAGGCCUUCGGGUUGUAAAGCCCUUUUGUUGGGAACGAAAAGCAGCAGGUUAAUACCCCGCUGUUCUGACGGUACCCAAAGAAUAAGCACCGGCGAACUUCGU
rnacentral:rRNA from 1 species